GACGAACGCUGGCGGCGUGCUUAACACAUGCAAGUCGAACGGUGAAGCUCCAGCUUGCUGGAGUGGAUCAGUGGCGAACGGGUGAGUAACACGUGAGCAACCUGCCCCUGACUCUGGAAUAAGCGCUGGAAACGGCGUCUAAUACUGGAUACGAGAAGGGUCCGCAUGGGCACUUUCUGGAAAGUUUUUCGGUUGGGGAUGGGCUCGCGGCCUAUCAGCUUGUUGGUGAGGUAAUGGCUCACCAAGGCGACGACGGGUAGCCGGCCUGAGAGGGCGACCGGGCACACUGGGACUGAGACACGGCCCAGACUCCUACGGGAGGCAGGAGUGGGGAAUAUUGCACAAUGGGCGGAAGCCUGAUGCAGCGACGCCGGGUGAGGGAUGACGGCCUUCGGGUUGUAAACCUCUUUCAGCAGGGAAGAAGCGAAAGUGACGGUACCUGCAGAAGAAGCACCGGCUAACUACGUG
rnacentral:rRNA from 1 species